CCGGCCUUAGCUCAGUUGGAAGAGCAUGUGACUGUAGAAGCAUACCUCCCAGUGGGAAGCUGCUGGUAUCACGGGGUCGUUGGCUUGAAUCCGACAGGCCGGA
rfam:Coccomyxa subellipsoidea C-169, whole genome shotgun sequence.